UACGUAGGGGGCAAGCGUUGUCCGGAAUUAUUGGGCGUAAAGAGCGCGUAGGCGGUCUGAUAAGUCGGUUGUGAAAGUCGGGGGCUCAACCCUCGGAUGCCGAUCGAUACUGUCAGGCUAGAGUUCGGUAGGGGAGACUGGAAUUCCUGGUGUAGCGGUGAAAUGCGCAGAUAUCAGGAGGAACACCGGUGGCGAAGGCGGGUCUCUGGGCCGAAACUGACGCUGAGGAGCGAAAGCGUGGGGAGCGAACAGG
rnacentral:rRNA from 1 species